rnacentral:rRNA from 1 species
UUAUGGCUCAGGAUGAACGCUAGCGACAGGCUUAACACAUGCAAGUCGAGGGGCAGCAUAAAAGUAGCAAUACUUGGUGGCGACCGGCGCACGGGUGAGUAACGCGUAUGCAACCUACCUAUCAGAGGGGAAUAACCCGGCGAAAGUCGGACUAAUACCGCAUAAAACAGGGGCACCGCAUGGUGAUAUUUGUUAAAGAAAUUCGCUGAUAGAUGGGCAUGCGUUCCAUUAGGUAGUUGGUGAGGUAACGGCUCACCAAGCCGACGAUGGAUAGGGGAACUGAGAGGUUGGUCCCCCACACUGGUACUGAGACACGGACCAGACUCCUACGGGAGGCAGCAGUGAGGAAUAUUGGUCAAUGGGCGGGAGCCUGAACCAGCCAAGUCGCGUGAAGGAAGAAGGAUCUAUGGUUCGUAAACUUCUUUUGCAGGGGAAUAAAGUGCAGGACGUGUCCUGUUUUGUAUGUACCCUGAGAAUAAGGAUCGGCUAACUCCGUGCCAGCCGCCGC